CCUACGGGAGGCAGCAGUGGGGAAUAUUGCGCAAUGGGCGCAAGCCUGACGCAGCGACGCCGCGUGCGGGAUGAAGGUCUUCGGAUCUUAAACCUCUGUCAGCAGGGCAGAACGGUCACUGUGCUAAUCAGCAGUGAAUUGACGGUACCUGCAAAGGAAGCACCGGCUAACUCCGUGCCAGCAGCCGCGGUAAUACGGAGGGUGCGAGCGUUAAUCGGAAUUUCUGGGCGUAAAGCGCUCGUAGGCGGUAUGUCAAGUCAAGGGUGAAAUCCCCGCGCUCAACGUGGGAACUGCCUUUGAAACUGGCAAACUGGAGUGUGUGAGAGGAUAGUGGAAUUCCAGGUGUAGGAGUGAAAUCCGUAGAUAUCGGGAGGAACAUCAGUGGCGAAGGCGACUAUCUGGCACAUAACUGACGCUGAGGAGCGAAAGCGUGGGUAGCAAACAGGAUUAGAUACCCUUGUAGUC
rnacentral:rRNA from 1 species